rnacentral:snRNA from 1 species
CGACUUACCUGGCAGAGGAGAUACCAUAAUCGUGAAGGUAGUUUUUCGAGGGUGAGGCUUGUGCAUUGCACUCCGGAUGUGCUGACCCCUGCGAUUUCCCCAAAUGUGGGAAACUCAACUGAAUAAUUUGCGGUAGUAGGGGACUGCGUUCCCGCUUUCUCCUU